AGCGAACGCUGGCGGCAGGCCUAACACAUGCAAGUCGAACGGACCCUUCGGGGUUAGUGGCGGACGGGUGAGUAACACGUGGGAACGUGCCUUUAGGUUCGGAAUAGCUCCUGGAAACGGGUGGUAAUGCCGAAUGUGCCCUUCGGGGGAAAGAUUUAUCGCCUUUAGAGCGGCCCGCGUCUGAUUAGCUAGUUGGUGAGGUAACGGCUCACCAAGGCGACGAUCAGCAGCUGGUCUGAGAGGAUGACCAGCCACACUGGGACUGAGACACGGCCCAGACUCCUACGGGAGGCAGCAGUGGGGAAUCUUGCGCAAUGGGCGAAAGCCUGACGCAGCCAUGCCGCGUGAAUGAUGAAGGUCUUAGGAUUGUAAAAUUCUUUCACCGGGGACGAUAAUGACGGUACCCGGAGAAGAAGCCCCGGCUAACUUCGU
rnacentral:rRNA from 1 species